rnacentral:lncRNA from 1 species
ACGUUUGAACCACUCAGCUUGGAUUCUGACUGGUGGUAAAGGUAUAUUGCCUCCUGUAAAGAAAGAAAGAAGUUUCUGGUACAUUCAUGCUCCUUGCUCCUGGGUAAUUUGGCUUAUACCAUGAUCUUUUUAGGCAGACUGUUGUAUCUCCCAUUCACUGAUGGAUAAAUGGAGGCUAAGAGGACUCAAGCUGUGCCCACACAUCUGUAUUGGACAAUACAAAGAUAGGGAGAAAAACGGAGACAUAGAGAACAUGCAGAAGUGACGCCAUCGCAGGAGAACCCAUGGCCACAAGAAAGGAGGAUUCCAGAA